rnacentral:rRNA from 1 species
AUUGAACGCUGGCGGCAGGCCUAACACAUGCAAGUCGAACGAGUGGCGGACGGGUGAGUAAUGUCUGGGAAACUGCCCGAUGGAGGGGGGUAACUACUGGAAACGGUAGCUAAUACGGCAUACCAUCGGAUGUGCCCAGAUGGGGUUAGCGAGAAGGGGGGGUAGCGGCUCACCUAGGCGACGAUCCCUAGCGGGUCUGAGAGGAUGACCAGCCACACUGGAACUGGGACACGGUCCCGACUCCUACGGGAGGCAGCAGUGGGGAAUUGUGCCCAAUGGGCGCAAGCCUGAUGCAGCCAUGCCGCGUGUAUGAAGACGGCCUUCGGGUUGUAAAGUACUUUCAGCGAGGAGGCGUUACUCGCAGAAGAAGCACCGGCUAACUCCGUGCCGGCAGCCGCGGUAAUUC